AGCGAACGCUGGCGGCAGGCUUAACACAUGCAAGUCGAGCGCCCCGCAAGGGGAGCGGCAGACGGGAGAGUAACACGUGGGAACGUACCCUUUAGUUCGGAACAACCCAGGGAAACUUGGGCUAAUACCGGAUACGUCCGUAAGGAGAAAGAUUUAUCGCUAAAGGAUCGGCCCGCGUCUGAUUAGCUAGUUGGUGAGGUAACGGCUCACCAAGGCGACGAUCAGUAGCUGGUCUGAGAGGAUGAUCAGCCUCGCUGGGACUGAGACACGGCCCAGACUCCUACGGGAGGCAGCAGUGGGGAAUAUUGGACAAUGGGCGCAAGCCUGAUCCAGCCAUGCCGCGUGGGUGAUGAAGGCCCUAGGGUUGUAAAGCCCUUUCGGCGGGGAAGAUAAUGACGGUACCCGCAGAAGAAGCCCCGGCUAACUUCGUGCCAGCCGCCGCGGUAACAC
rnacentral:rRNA from 1 species